rnacentral:rRNA from 1 species
GAUGAACGCUGGCGGCGUGCCUAAUACAUGCAAGUCGAGCGAACAGACGAGGAGCUUGCUCCUCUGACGUUAGCGGCGGACGGGUGAGUAACACGUGGAUAACCUACCUAUAAGACUGGGAUAACUUCGGGAAACCGGAGCUAAUACCGGAUAAUAUAUUGAACCGCAUGGUUCAAUAGUGAAAGACGGUUUUGCUGUCACUUAUAGAUGGAUCCGCGCCGCAUUAGCUAGUUGGUAAGGUAACGGCUUACCAAGGCAACGAUGCGUAGCCGACCUGAGAGGGUGAUCGGCCACACUGGAACUGAGACACGGUCCAGACUCCUACGGGAGGCAGCAGUAGGGACUCUUCCGCAAUGGGCGAAAGCCUGACGGAGCAACGCCGCGUGAGUGAUGAAGGUCUUCGGAUCGUAAAACUCUGUUAUUAGGGAAGAACAAAUGUGUAAGUAACUAUGCACGUCUUGACGGUACCUAAUCAGAAAGCCACGGCUACCUACGU